rnacentral:sRNA from 1 species
ACAGUCAACAAAAACGACCUACC